rnacentral:rRNA from 1 species
AGAGUUUGAUCCAUGGCUCAGAUUGAACGCUGGCGGCAGGCCUAACACAUGCAAGUCGAGCGGGGUUUUCGGACCUAGCGGCGGACGGGUGAGUAAUGCGUAGGAAGCUACCCGAUAGAGGGGGAUACCAGUUGGAAACGACUGUUAAUACCGCAUAAUGUCUACGGACCAAAGUGUGGGACCUUCGGGCCACAUGCUAUCGGAUGCGCCUACGUGGGAUUAGCUAGUUGGUGAGGUAAUGGCUCACCAAGGCGACGAUCUCUAGCUGGUUUGAGAGGAUGAUCAGCCACACUGGAACUGAGACACGGUCCAGACUCCUACGGGAGGCAGCAGUGGGGAAUAUUGGACAAUGGGCGCAAGCCUGAUCCAGCCAUGCCGCGUGUGUGAAGAAGGCCUUCGGGUUGUAAAGCACUUUCAGCGAGGAGGAGAAAGGUUGGAUGUUAA